rnacentral:misc_RNA from 1 species
GCUUCACGCUAGUGACCUGCACUCACUAUUAUCUCUCUUUAAUUUUUCUUUCAAUUUUUAAUUCUCUUUACAAACAAUACUGUACUACAUGUAUUGAUUUAAACACCCUCAUGAUUAAAUUCAGAUGUUGGGAGAAGUUGUAUUUUACUUACAAUUGGAGGAAAAAACAUCAUGUUAGAUUGUGGAAUGCACAUGGGCUACAAUGAUGAACGAAGAUUUCCAGAUUUUACUUACAUCACUGAUGAGGAAGGAGAUAGAUUGACAGAUCAUUUGGACUGUGUUAUCAUCAGUCAUUUUCAUCUUGAUCACUGUGGAGCACUGCCGUACAUGUCGGAAAUGGUGGGUUAUGAUGGUCCCAUCUACAUGACUCACCCAACUAAAGCCAUCUGUCCCAUAUUGCUGGAAGACUACAGGAAAAUAACAGUGGAACGGAAAGGAGAAGAGAAUUUCUUCACAUCUGAAAUGAUAAAAAACUGCAUGAAAAAAGUGGUGGUGGUCAAUCUGCAUGAAACUAAACAGGUUGAUGAAGAGCUGGAGAUAAAAGCUUACUAUGCAGGUCAUGUUUUAGGGGCAGCCAUGUUUCACAUCAAAGUAGGCCAGCAAUCAGUGGUGUAUACGACAGACAUUUAGGUGCAGCUUGGAUUGAUAAAUGUCGGCCUGACCUGCUUAUCACAGAAUCUACCUAUGCCACGACGAUACGCGACUCCAAGCGAUGCAGAGAGAGAGAUUUCCUGAAAAAAGUUCAUGACUGUGUGGAGAAAGGUGGAAAGGUCCUGAUUCCAGUGUUUGCUCUGGGCCGAGCACAAGAACUCUGUAUUCUACUGGAGAGUUACUGGGACCGCAUGAACAUCAAAGUCCCCAUCUACUUCUCUCUGGGUCUCACUGAAAAGGCCAACCACUACUACAAGUUAUUUAUUACAUGGACAAGUCAGAAGAUUAAGAAAACCUUUGUACAGAGAAAUAUGUUUGAAUUCAAGCAUAUCAAGCCAUUUGACAGAGCUUUUAUAGACAAUCCAGGACCAAUGGUGGUCUUUGCUACCCCUGGAAUGUUGCAUGCUGGUCUGUCUCUACAAAUCUUCAAGAAAUGGGCCCCUAAUGAACUCAACAUGGUCAUAAUGCCUGGAUACUGUGUAGCAGGAACUGUGGGACAUAAAAUUCUGAAUGGAGCUCGGAAAUUAGAAUUAGAAAACAAACAAAUCCUGGAUGUGAAGCUCUCUGUGCAGUACAUGUCCUUCAGUGCCCAUGCUGACGCUAAAGGAAUCAUGCAGCUGAUCUCUCAGUGUGAGCCCAGGAACGUGAUGCUGGUCCACGGAGAGGCGGCUAAGAUGGACUUCCUAAAAAACAAAAUCCAGCAGGAGUUUGGCAUUGAUUGUUACAAACCAGCCAAUGGAGAAUCUGUUACAAUAGAAACAACGCACAAUAUCCAUGUUGAUAUUCCACUUUCUUUGUUAAAGAGGGAAGCAUCUAAAACAGGAUUACUUCCCCCUGAUGCCAAAAGACCAAGAGUUUUACAUGGAGCAUUGGUUAUGAGAGGAAAUCGUCUCCAGAUCAUUGACCCUAGCCAGGCCCUGAAGGAGAUGGGGGUCGAGGAGCACCACCUCAGGUUCACCUCCACCAUUAGCAUAGAGGAGGAGGGGCCCGGCAACAAAGUCGCCGAGAAAAUCUACCAACUGGUCAAAAGGAAGCUAAAGGACUUUUCUAUCCACUACUCUUCUGAUGGUUCCAUAUCCAUCUCCGAUUCUCUCCUGAUCCAGGUGUCUGGAGAUGAAGAUGAGACUAAAUCUGUCCUUGUGUCAUGGUCACACCAGGAUGAAGACAUAGGGAGUUUCCUUCUUCAGUUGUUGAGAGAGGACCCCUCACUUGUCCAGGCAGUUUGAACAAAGAUUCCAUGGGUUUAACUUAGACCACAUUAUCUUUUACUCCAAGGCUGUUACAGGACAGUUACUGAAACAAGGACAUGUUAUAUGCUGUAAACAAUUGAUGUGUCAUCAAGUGUGCUAUGGGUCAGGGAACUAGUUUGAUGAUGCUGUGCAAGUGAACCAGUUCAUUGAUGAGAUUCAAGGCCAUUCAAAGCAAGAGAAAAAAAACAAUGAGUCAUUUAUUAAUUUUCUCCGCAAAAUGAUUGUAUUUUUACUGAUUUCAUGACACUACGCGUUGGGAUUAAAGUGCUCAUUAAGUGCUAUCACAAGCAAUCAGUGUUUCAUUAUUUUCACUCAUCUGAACUUUGAAAAUAUUUUCAUCAUUAUCUCUGAUCAUUGUUAUUAUGAAAGUAAAUCAUGAAAGUAUGUC